rnacentral:rRNA from 1 species
ACGCUCGACACCUACGGGAGGCAGCAGUGGGGAAUAUUGCACAAUGGGGGAAACCCUGAUGCAGCGACGCCGCGUGGAGGAAGAAGGUCUUCGGAUUGUAAACUCCUGUUGUUGGGGAAAAAGAGGAUGGUACCCAACAAGGAAGUGACGGCUAACUACGCGCCAGCAGCCGCGGUAAUCUGAGCGGGCUGGCAAGGC